rfam:Loxodonta africana unplaced genomic scaffold scaffold_75, whole genome shotgun sequence.
UUCAAAUAGUUUCCCAGGACCCUUCCCAGGCUAAAGGCGCGGCAGCGUCCCAGAACUUGGUGAUAUGGAACUGCGCCGCUAAGGGUGAUCGGGUGCCCUUCUGGUCCCCAC